UAGACACAGGGUGUUGAUUGGUGUGUUUA
rnacentral:piRNA from 1 species